rnacentral:rRNA from 1 species
UACGGAGGGUGCAAGCGUUAUCCGGAUUCACUGGGUUUAAAGGGUGCGUAGGCGGCUAUAUAAGUCAGUGGUGAAAGCCCGCAGCUCAACUGCGGAACUGCCAUUGAAACUGCAUAGCUUGAAUCUGGUUGAAGUGGGCGGAAUACAUCAUGUAGCGGUGAAAUGCUUAGAUAUGAUGUAGAACACCGAUUGCGAAGGCAGCUCACUAAGCCAACAUUGGCGCUGAGGCACGAAAGCGUGGGUAGCGAACAGG